UACGUAGGGGGCUAGCGUUGUCCGGAAUCAUUGGGCGUAAAGAGCGUGUAGGCGGCCCGGUAAGUCCGCUGUGAAAGUCGGGGGCUCAACCCUCGGAUGCCGGUGGAUACUGUCGGGCUCGAGUACGGAAGAGGCGAGUGGAAUUCCUGGUGUAGCGGUGAAAUGCGCAGAUAUCAGGAGGAACACCAAUAGCGAAGGCAGCUCGCUGGGACGUUACUGACACUGAGGCGCGAAAGCGUGGGGAGCGAACAGG
rnacentral:rRNA from 1 species